AAGGAGCACCAACUGGCCCGUGUGGCAUCCCUCCACUUCCCGUCCUUUGGGCGGGUGGUGAACGGGAUGGCAGGGGUCGGUGGCCGCCGUUAACAGCGAAUGUCUGUUAGGUGGCUGCUCAUAGAUGUGGAGCACUGGUUAUUCAGUUCGCUGGCCGUGUGGCUCAGCUAGUACCGCCCCCAGGGUUUUGGGGGAGUGGGAACGGUGGGUGUCAGGCGGUUGGUGGGUUGGGCACGCUGUUGAGUCCUGAGGGAACGGGCACUUUGGUGUUCGGGGCCUCGGACUGCGGGACCGGCUUCAUGCGUUCUCAGAGUGUGUGGGGUUGGUGGCCCGGUUGNUUUUUGAGAACUGCACAGUGGACCCAGCAUUUUUGGCAAACCAAUUAAAACUUGACUUGGGGGGAACUUAAGGUUUUCUUCCUGGUUGGGUUGUGUGGUUUGUUCUGCGAUUUGUUUUGAUCGUUUUGU
rnacentral:misc_RNA from 1 species